GAAAAUCCAAAUUAGUGAAAAUAUGAAUUUCCGACCAAAUUAAGCACAGUUAGGACAAAUGGGGAAAUAACGGGCAAUUAAACACAAUUCCCUGAUUUAAUUGGGUGCAAUAAACCAAAUAUAGUCAAGAAAUAACGACUCAUCAAUGAUCCCUAACUACAAACUCCAAAGGUCUACAUCUCUGAUGAACAUAGGACUUCUGCCGGCUCUUAGAUGCCCGCAUCCUCUCCUGAAUGAGCUUCACCUUCAUUAUAGUCUGCUGUAUCAACCCUGGC
rnacentral:lncRNA from 1 species